GACGUAGGAGGCGAGCGUUGUCCGGAAUUACUGGGCGUAAAGGGCGCGUAGGCGGCCUGCUAAGUCACACGUGAAAUCCCUCGGCUCAACCGGGGAACUGCGUGUGAUACUGGCGGGCUUGAAUUCGGGAGAGGGAUGUGGAAUUCCAGGUGUAGCGGUGAAAUGCGUAGAUAUCUGGAGGAACACCGGUGGCGAAGGCGGCAUCCUGGACCGAGAUUGACGCGUGAGGCGCGAAAGCUAGGGGAGCAAACGGG
rnacentral:rRNA from 1 species